ACCAUGCAUAGACAAUCGAGAGGAAUUAGUACCUGCACAAGCAUGCGUUAAGAGCUUCGGCUCAUUAAUUUUGAGACGUCACAUAGAGAAACAUAACUAAUGUUACCUUUCUCAAACUCUCUUCUCAGUAAGACUUCUUUAUGUUGGUAUAUAGAGUGAAAUUGACGAAGCGACUACGAAGUUUCGCAAAUUAGCAGAAGAUGGAUCGUUAAAACCAAUAGUCGGUAAAACUUUCAAUCUGGUAGAUGCACCUCUAGCUCAUAAAGAAAUAAUAGAAGGAGGUUGUGCCCAAGGAAAACUUGUGCUGGAAAUUGAAUGAAAAUACUGAUAGUAUGAACAUGAU